rnacentral:tRNA from 1 species
GCUAGUGUAGCUUAAAUCAAAGCAUAACACUGAAGAUGUUAAGAUGAAACCUAGAAAAAUUCCACAAGCA